rnacentral:rRNA from 1 species
UACGUAGGGUGCGAGCGUUGUCCGGAAUUAUUGGGCGUAAAGGGCUCGUAGGCGGUUUGUCGCGUCGGGAGUGAAAACACCGGGCUUAACUCGGUGCUUGCUUUCGAUACGGGCAGACUAGAGGUAUGCAGGGGAGAACGGAAUUCCUGGUGUAGCGGUGAAAUGCGCAGAUAUCAGGAGGAACACCGGUGGCGAAGGCGGUUCUCUGGGCAUUACCUGACGCUGAGGCGCGAAAGCGUGGGGAUCGAACAGG